rnacentral:rRNA from 2 species
UUGGAGGGCAAGUCUGGUGCCAGCAGCCGCGGUAAUUCCAGCUCCAAUAGCGUAUAUUAAAGUUGUUGCAGUUAAAAAGCUCGUAGUUGAAUUUCGGGAUCUAUCCAUUGGUCGGGCCUCACGGUCCGUACUGGUGUUAUGGAUUCCUACCUUCUGAAUAACCGGGAUGUCAUUAAUUUGGUGUGCCGGGGAAGCAGGACUGUUACCUUGAAAAAAUUAGAGUGCUUAAAGCAGGCUUUUGCCUGAAUACAUUAGCAUGGAAUAAUGAAAUAGGACGCAUGAUUCUAUUUUGUUGGUUUCUAGGAUCACCGUAAUGAUUAAUAGGGAUAGUUGGGGGCAUUAGUAUUCAAUUGUCAGAGGUGAAAUUCUUGGAUUUAUUGAAGACUAACUUCUGCGAAAGCAUUUGCCAAGGAUGUUUUCAUUAAUCAAGAACGAAAGUUAGGGGAUCGAAGACGAUCAGAUACCGUCGUAGUCUUAACCAUAAACUAUGCCGACUAGGGAUCGGACGAUGUUAAUUUUUUAAUGACUCGUUCGGCGCCUUACGGGAAAC